rnacentral:rRNA from 1 species
GGAAGUAAUAAAGGGCGCAUGGCGGAUGCCUUGGCUCACGGAGGCGAUGAAGGACGCGGCAAGCUGCGAAAAUCUGCGGUUAGGUGCAAGUGACCUGUGACCCGCAGGUGUCCGAAUGGGACAACCCGGCAGUCUGAAGGACUGUCACCGGCGCGUUUACCGCGCGCCGGGGCGAACGGAGGGAACCGAAACAUCCCAGUACCUCCAGGAAGAGAAAAUAAACAAUGAUUCCCCCAGUAGCGGCGAGCGACCGGGGAUUAGCCCAAACCGGUGCGGUGGCGACGCCGCGCCGGGGUUGUAGGACCGCGCCGUCCACCGGCGCGCGGCGAGGGGAAGCCGCUGGAAAGCGGCCCCGCAGCGGGUGAGAGGCCCGUACCCGAAGCCGCGCCGCCCGGUGCAGCGGUAUCCUGAGUAACGCGGGACACGAGGAAUCCUGCGCGAAUCCGCCGGGCCCCCCCGGCAAGGCUGAACACUCCCGUGAGACCGACAGUGAACGAGUACCGUGAGGGAAAGGUGAAAAGCACUCCGACGAGGAGGGUGAAAGAGUCCCUGAAACCAUGCGCCUUCAAGCGGUCGGAGCACACUUGUGUGUGUGACGGCGUGCCUUUUGCAUAAUGAGCCUACGAGUUGCCCUCACCGGCGAGGUUAAGCCCCACGAGGGGCGUAUCCGCAGUGAAAGCGAGCCUGAACAGGGCGCGGAGUCGCUGGGGGCAGACGCGAAACCAAGUGAUCUACGCAUGCCCAGGGUGAAGUCCCGGUAACACGGGAUGGAGGCCCCAACCAAUAAGCGUUGAAAAGCUUCUGGAUGAGGUGUGCGUAGGAGUGAAAGGCCAAUCAAACUUGGAGAUAGCUCGUACUCCCCGAAAGGCAUUUAGGUGCCGCGUGCCGCUGACCGCGCGAGAGGUAGAGCGACCGGCAGGAUGCGAGGGCUUCACCGCCUGUCAAGUCCUUCCGAACUCCGAAUGCUCGCGCGCCGCUGCGGCGCAGUAAGGGCGCGGGUGCUAAGGUCCGUGCCCGAGAGGAGAAGAAUCCGGACCGCCGCCUAAGGUCCCGGAGUUCUGCCUGAGUUAGCCUAACGAGGUGCGGUCCCGGUGACAGCCAGGAUGUUGGCUUGGAAGCAGCCAUUCAUUCAAAGAGUGCGUAACAGCUCACUGGUCGAGGGUCCGCGCGUGGAUAAUAAUCGGGUAUAAGGCAGACACCGAAGGCGCGGGAUAGCACGUUGUUGAAAAGUAUCGGUAGGGGAGCAUUGCACGCGCGUCGAAUGGCGGGGGCGACCCCUCCUGGAGCGCGUGGAAGAGCAAAUGUAGGCAUGAGUAACGAUUAGGGCGGCGAGAACCCGCCCCGCCGCAAGACCAAGGUUUCCCGGGCAAUGCCAGUCAUCCCGGGGUCAGUCGGGUCCUAAGCCCCAGCCUAACGGCGAAGGCGAUGGCAGAAACGGUCAACAUUCCGUUACUGCCGUCCGGAGCGACGCGCUGACGGAGAAGUGACACCGCCGCGUGCUGACGGAAUAGCACGUUGAAGGCCAAAGGCGCCGAGGGACGCAGGUAAGUCCGCGUCCCGAGCCGAAGGCCGAGAGUACGGAGCGCCCCCCGGGGCAAUCCGAGAGCGCGGGUAAUCAUGCUCCCGAGAAAAUGCGCUAAGCACAUCCGGUCGGCACCCGUACCGCAGACCGACACAGGUGGUCGGGUAGAGCAUACUGAGGCGUUGGGAGAUUCAUGGUCAAGGAACUAGGCAAACUGACCCCGUAACUUCGGGAGAAGGGGUCCUCGCGGCGACGCGAGGCGCAGAGACCAGGUCCAGGCAACUGUUUAACAAAAACACAGGGCUGUGCAAACACGAAAGUUGACGUAUACAGCCUGACACCUGCCCGGUGCCGGAAGGUUAAGAGGAGGCGUCAGCGGCCGUUUUGGCCGCGCAGCGCCGAGUUGAAGCCCCGGUAAACGGCGGCCGUAACUAUAACGGUCCUAAGGUAGCGAAAUUCCUUGUCGGGUAAGUUCCGACCUGCACGAAUGGUGUAAUGAUCCGGACGCUGUCUCGACCAUGAUCUCAGUGAAAUUGUAGUAUCGGUGAAGAUGCCGAUUACCCGCGAUGGGACGAAAAGACCCCGUGAACCUUCACUGCAGCUUAGCAUUGACGCCGGCCAUCGGAUGUGCAGGAUAGGCCGGAGGCACUGAGGGGCGCACGCCAGUGCGCCCGGAGCCGCCGUUGAAAUACGGCCCUUCCGCUGUCUGGUGUCUAACGCGCUAGUUGCGCGGACACUGCUUGGCGGGCAGUUUGACUGGGGUGGUCGCCUCCAAAAGCGUAACGGAGGCUUCCAAAGGUGCCCUCGGGCCGAUUGGCAACCGGCCUUCAUGAGUGCAAUGGCACAAGGGCGCUUGACUGGGAGGGGGACACCCCGAGCAGGCAGGAAACUGGGGCAUAGUGAUCCGGUGCAAGUGUGUGGAAACUGCAUCGCUCAAAGGAUAAAAGGUACUCCGGGGAUAACAGGCUGAUCCCCCCCAAGAGCUCACAUCGACGGGGUGGUUUGGCACCUCGAUGUCGGCUCGUCACAUCCUGGGGCUGGAGAAGGUCCCAAGGGUUGGGCUGUUCGCCCAUUAAAGUGGCACGCGAGCUGGGUUCAGAACGUCGUGAGACAGUUCGGUCUCUAUCUAUCGUGGGCGCAGGAGUCCUGAGCGGGCCUGGCACUAGUACGAGAGGACCGUGCCGGACAGACCUCCGGUGUACCGGUUGUGGCGCCAGCCGCACCGCCGGGUAGCCGCGUCUGGAACGGAUAAGCGCUGAAAGCAUCUAAGUGCGAAGCCGUCCGCGAGAUUAGGUCUCCCCACAGGGCCGUCACAGACUAUGACGUUGAUAGGGGGCAGGUGCAAAGGCGGCGACGCCAAAGCCGAGCCCUACUAAUUGCCCGAGCCUUCCGUCU